AAGGAACACAAGCUUCUGCUCAGAUUCAUAUUUCAUCUGGUUGAAGAUUUAGGGGUUGUCAGCAGUAAAAGAACAGUGUGUGUGUGUGUUCGUGCAUGUUGUGUUCCACAGAAACACCCACACACAGACAUCCAUUAAACGAUUAAACCUCAACACGCUCUGAAUCUCAAUAACGUUACUUCAUGAAGAUCAGAGGCGGAGUUUCCCUGUUGCAUCACAUCAGAAGCAACAAGUUGAAGUGACAGAAACAGUCCUGCCAGGCUGUAGUGAAGAGGCAAGGUCACAGAGCGAGAUGGCUGAAGUCACUGAUGUGCAGCGGCGUGAGUCUGACUUUAAUCUCUCUCUGGCUCCUGAAGUCUUCACGAGACUAUUAUCUGGCUGAACCUCCAGACACAUCCAGACUGGCGAGUCACCUGAAAUCGUUUAGCACAGGAGGAGGAGGAGGAGGUCAUCUCAAUGUUGGUCAUCGUCUGCUGAAUUAAUCAGUUUGAGUGAUUGUGGUGUGAAAUCCCAUCCAUAUCUGAGCUCAAAUCAAACACCUGAUGGAGGAUUGACCAGCUAACCGACUCACGAGGAGCUCAAAGUCCUGCCGACGUGGAACGAAUGUGUGUGUGUGAGCCCUCAACCGACAAAGAAUGGAACGCACAGGAUUGUGGGAUAUCAAAGGUAGCGAAGGAUACAUCUAUGCUGCCUUCAAAAUUCGAUCAGAAGGUUCAUCAUUAUAAACGAUGGCGCUCCUCGCCGCAGUCCUCACCGGAACCUCAAGCCCAUCUGUCUCCAUAGAAGUUAUUUCCCAUAAUGCCUCUGUCCCUCAGAGCGGGAGCCUCUGACAGAGACGGAGAGCGGUCGUUCUGAACGGCCGGCUGUGGGAAGGACAUUUUUCUCUUUCCAUUUCCAGCAAAUGUCAUCAUGGGUCCAUCAAAGCCUGUCGCUGAAGAUUGAUUGGCGGCUUCAUCCACCAAUCAGAGAUGCGUUUGCUUUUGUGUUUGACCUGCGUUUUGACAGAGCUGACCGGUGUGAUCCUGACCCGCGGCUGUUAGCUUCCCCUGCGGCAGCGCUGUGAAUCAAUAGACCCUCUGACCCCGGAGCCCAGUGCAUCAUCCAUCUGACCCUGUUCAAAUCUGCUGGACAGAGAGACAAACAGACUGAAAGCAGCAGCCUCGGGCUCUUCAGCGCCGCUAAAGACACAGAAACAAACACUGACCUACCAGUCAACACAGCAAAUCUAAUCCAUCAAUAUUAUACAUUCAUUUUAGAUAUUAGAUUAUAUACUGCUUUUCUUGAAAGAAAUUGAUACUUUUAUUCAUCUAGGAUGCAUUAAAUUGAUCAAAAGUGACAGGAAAGACAUUUACAAUGUUACAAAUAAAAGCCUUUCUAUUCAUCUGUGAAUCCUGAAAAAUAAAAUGCAUCACAGUUUCCACAAAGAUAUUUGUCAGCUGAACUGUUUUCAACAUUGAUGCAUCAAAUCAGCGUAUUAGAAUGAUUUCUGAAGAUCAUGUGACUCUGAAGACUGCAGUAAUGAUGCUGAAAAUACCGCUGCGCAUCACAGAAAUAAAUUACAGUUUAACACAUAUUCACAUAGAAAACAGCUGUUUGAAAUUGUAAUAAUAUUUCACAAUUUUAGUGUUUAUACUGU